CAGGCUGCAGUAAAAGAGGAGCGACGAGAGGCUCGGAAAGCAAAGAAAGAAUUAAAGGAGCUCUACCAGUGUGAAGCCCAGCGUGCACAGAGGGUUGCUGCUGUUUCUGGGCCAUCUUCUGUCCACGUUAUGUAGUUCUUGUGCUGAUUGGAUGUUGAAGAUCUGAAGCUACUUAGCCAAAGGCUCCAAAUCCCCUUUUGUGCUACUUCGCUGCAGAAAUAUGAUCAAAAUGAUCUUUCCGUUUAUAUAAUUUUUGUAGUUAUUUAUCGCAAGGUUCUUUCCAUAAUUGGACAUGAUAUGAGUAGGCACUUUUAUGUUUUUAGAAUGGACUGAAUUACUGAAUAUGAUGUGAUUGCUGCGAUUUUGGUGUUAGAUUUUGGAUAUUAGGCCCAAUGAUAUGGUGUUGUAAGGCUAUUUUGGAUUAUGCUGUCUGAAAUGAAGCAUUACGAUGCAAGAGUGAAAAUAAGCACACCUUAGCAACAGAAUUCAAUUAAUUCCAUGUUGGCACAUGAA